AUGUGUUCACGUCUCUUCGUUUCAAGCCAGCUCGACCUGCUUGAGAUCAACGCGGCGGAGGGGAUCACCGUCGUCGACGCCACGGUGCCCGCCCACGCCAUCGUCCAAGCCACCGUCGCCCAGUUCAGGGACGAGCUGGCCUCGACGGCGUGCUGA
rnacentral:rRNA from 1 species